GGGGCACAUCAACAACAGGUACGAAGACGCUUAUGGAAUAUGGAAAGACGAUGCACAAACUUUUAGUGCCCCCAUCGGAUAAGUUUGCAGUUUACGCUCGCAGUGACCGAGGGAAUUUCCAAAACGCAUGAGACGAGGCAAAAAUCUAGACUCCACAAUAUCAAAAAGGGCGCCCUUUAACGCUUACCGCUAACUUCGUGAUUGAAUUUGAAAUGUUCCAUCGCUUCUCAAAAUGUUUCGCUAUGCAGCUCUAUAGCCAGAGGGUGGUCAGUAAGCCCCACUUAGGACGUGGUCUGUACCACAAAAAUUACAACUCUCACAAUAGGCGGGUUUGGUAUUCUCAAAAAAAUGAAACGGGGAAGGGUUGAUAAAGCAGGACGCACACUAUCGCGGAAUUGAAUGGAACGGAGCGGAAUGGAAUGGAAAUUCUGAAUCUCCACACAUUAGCCCGGAAUUUCGCGGAACAAAAUUAUUUAAAUAUGAGUAAUUUAUUACCAGACUAGCUUGAUCCUGUUUGUAGGGUGUAAUGUUCUUUCGCAGUGGACACGUCAGACGAAGAAUUUGUAGCGCUGUGUGUAGUUUGAAUUUGAAGAAAUGAGGGAGAAAACAAAAAAAAACGCAAAUUUGUAUCGUAUGACAAAUAUAGGUAUGGAUAAUCACAUAAUAUAUUAAUUAAAAAUUCUUCAUUCAUUUCAAUAAUCAAACAAACACAAAAUGGGUACGGUAUAUUGUGAAAUGUCAGCGCUAUUUUAGUUUAUUUCCUGUAGGAAUAAACACGCUUUGUACGCGCUUUCGUCUAAACUAAACGAAGGGGGCUGUGGAACCGCGGAAAAAUUCGCUCAGUGAGCAAUCCAAGUCUUUCCAUUCCGUUCCAAUCCAUUCCGCGGUAGUCUGCGAACUCUAACUUAAUUAUAUGUUUUCAAAAUUUCCGUUCCGUUCCAUUCCCUUCCAUUCCGCGAUAGUGUGCGUCCUGCUUUAUGUGGACCUUGUAAGCAAAAUCAAAUAAGGAAAAAAAAUAUUCGAUGUAAUGUCAAAGUACAUGGUUAUAAAAAAUUAAUAAUUUUUGAAACGGGGAGGAGAUAUACUUUUAUGACACUAGAGUCUAUCUUUAGCUGUGCAGUUAUUCCCACACUUACAUAUGGCUACGGUAGACUGAGACACUCGCACGUGGUCAGGAAACUGACCUCGUUUGAAUCCCUAUUUCUAACAACCUUCCUCGAGGCAUACAAGACAGUACCCAAUGAUUCCCUUUGUGUAAUUGCCAAACGCUCUCCUCUUCAUUUUUGAUUGCAGGAAAAAUAUUGCGCCGUAUACAGCCAUAUUUCUAGAGACGAUUUUCCUUCCUUUUCGGUCGCCAAGCGUCACGUGAAGGCUUGGGUGAAUGGAAGCGGAUACCCUGGCCCAUCGGGUUGUUGUUUGUGGAGAGUACUAUUUCUGCAAAUUUUUUCAUGUCCGCCACUACAUAUCAUGGCAAAAAUGGUGAUUUGAUCUGUGUAUCAAGCUAUUAGAAACAAACAAUGAACCAAAUGGGGACAUGAGGCGUUGCGAGGAAUACGUCAAGCAACGAGACGAAUUUUGUCAAAAAUGUGAUCCAUGGAAGAUGCGACAUAAUAACUUUUCCCUGUUCAGGUGUGUAGGCGAUCGAUACGGAAAAGGUGAUUCCAUGGAACGUUUUUGCGAAUUACCUAUUCAUUUUUGAGUUUGUUCAAAAGUGUUGUCUGUUCUGUUUUUGUCACAGAAAAUAAUAUAACAUUAUAAGAUUUUUUAUCAACUUCAGGAACAUGUAUACAUUUUCUUUGUUGUAACUCACAAUUCUUAAUAAUUUGUAAACCCCAUAUCACCUCUAAGUGUAGAGAUUUUAAUGAACAAUUAUGUUUUAGAGAAAUGCUGUGUAUCAUUUUUGUGCAGUAAACAAACAAAAGUAUAACGAUGGAGUUGUUCCUACCUACAUGGUUUA